GUGAAUCAUCAAAUUUUUGAACGCAAAUUGCACUCUCUUCGGAGAGUAUGCCUGUUUGAGGUUCAGCCUAAAAAAAAUCGACGUAUUCGCUUUUUCGCGAUUUCUUUCGUCUGAAAUUUUUUCAUCUUAUACCUUUUUUUGUUUUAAGCGGCUUAAAUUUUUCUUUUCGAUUCCACUAACGUUUCUAAUAUUUUACUUCUUACACAUUUUUAUAUUAUCGAUCUUUAUUAGACUUGGCCGUUU
rnacentral:misc_RNA from 1 species